AGCAGCCGCGGUAAUUCCAGCUCCAAUAGCGUAUAUUAAAGUUGUUGCAGUUAAAAAGCUCGUAGUUGAAUUUCGGGGUUAGCAGGUCGGUCGUGCCAUCGGUAUGAACUGGUCUCGCUGAUCCCUCCCUCUUGACGAACUGUGAUGCCAUUAAUUUGGUGUCGCAGGGAAUCAGGACUGUUACUUUGAAAAAAUUAGAGUGUUUAAAGCAGGCUCACGCUUGAAUACAUUAGCAUGGAAUAAUGAAAUAGGACGUUUGAUCCUAUUUUGUUGGUUUCUAGGAUUGACGUAAUGAUUAAUAGGGAUAGUUGGGGGCGUUAGUAUUCAAUUGUCAGAGGUGAAAUUCUUGGAUUUAUUGAAGACUAACUACUGCGAAAGCAUUUGCCAAGGAUGUUUUCAUUAAUCAAGAACGAAAGUUAGGGGAUCGAAGACGAUCAGAUACCGUCGUAGUCUUAACCAUAAACUAUAGCCGACUAGGGGUCGGAUGAUGUUAAUUUUUUAAUAACUCA
rnacentral:rRNA from 1 species